GCCUUCGUGGGUCACUGGUCAGCACGUUCGACGUGUAGUCGAGAGAUCCGUGGUUCGAAUCCCGGCGACGGCA
rnacentral:tRNA from 1 species